rnacentral:rRNA from 1 species
GACGAACGCUGGCGGCGUGCUUAACACAUGCAAGUCGAACGGAAAGGCCCUGCUUUUGUUGGGUGCUCGAGUGGCGAACGGGUGAGUAACACGUGAGUAACCUGCCCUUGACUUUGGGAUAACUUCAGGAAACUGGGGCUAAUACCGGAUAUGAUCUCCUGCUGCAUGGUGGGGGUUGGAAAGUUUCGGCGGUUGGGGAUGGACUCGCGGCUUAUCAGCUUGUUGGUGGGGUAGUGGCUUACCAAGGCUUUGACGGGUAGCCGGCCUGAGAGGGUGACCGGCCACAUUGGGACUGAGAUACGGCCCAGACUCCUACGGGAGGCAGCAGUGGGGAAUAUUGCACAAUGGGCGGAAGCCUGAUGCAGAAACGCCGCGUGCGGGAUGACGGCCUUCGGGUUGUAAACCGCUUUCGCCUGUGACGAAGCGUGAGUGACGGUAAUGGGUAAAGAAGCACCGGCUAACUACGUG